GACGAACGCUGGCGGCGUGCCUAACACAUGCAAGUCGAACGGAGUAGAGAGCUUCGGUUUUCUACUUAGUGGCGAACGGGUGAGUAACGCGUGAGGAACCUACCUCUCAGUGGGGGACAACAGUUGGAAACGACUGCUAAUACCGCAUAAUGUAGCGAGAUCGCAUGGUCAUGCUACCAAAGAUUUAUUGCUGAGAGAUGGCCUCGCGUCUGAUUAGAUAGUUUGUGGGGUAACGGCCUACCAAGUCGACGAUCAGUAGCCGGUCUGAGAGGAUGAACGGCCACAUUGGGACUGAGAUACGGCCCAGACUCCUACGGGAGGCAGCAGUGGGGAAUAUUGGGCAAUGGGGGAAACCCUGACCCAGCAACGCCGCGUGAAGGAAGAAGGCCUUCGGGUUGUAAACUUCUUUUAGCAGGGACGAAGACGUGACGGUACCUGCAGAAAAAGCAACGGCUAACUACGUGCCAGCAGCCGCAGUAAAAC
rnacentral:rRNA from 1 species